GACGAACGCUGGCGGCGUGCUUAACACAUGCAAGUCGAACGGACAGGCCCUGCUUUUGUUGGUUUCUCGAGUGGCGAACGGGUGAGUAACACGUGAGUAUCCUGCCCUUGUCUUUGUGAUAACUUCAGGAAACUGGGGCUCAUACCGGAUAGGAUCUCCUGCUGCAUGUUGGGGGUUGGAAAGUUUCGGCGGUUGGGGAUGGACUCGCUGCUUAUGAGCUUGUUGGUGUGGUAGUGGCUUACCAAGGCUUUGAGGGGUAGCCGGCAUGAGAGGGUGACCGGCCACAUUGGGACUGAGAUACGGCCCAGACGCCUACGGGAGGCAGCAGGGGGGAAUAUGGCACAAUGGGCGGAAGCGUGAUGCAGCAACGCUGCGUGCGGGAUGACGGCCUUCGGGGGGUAAACAGAUUUCGCCGGUGACGAAGAGUGAGUGACGGUAAUGGGUAAAGAAGCACCGGCUAACUACGUG
rnacentral:rRNA from 1 species